rnacentral:lncRNA from 1 species
UUCGAACGUGGGUGAUGAAUUCUGUGUUCUGAUCAGUUACUCAGGAGGCGCCCGAAUGUGAGGGGGUGGGAGUGUGGGAGGGGGCUGCCUCCUCUCUUCUCUUUCCCUCUGGCUGCUCUCCUCCCCUCUCCCCCCUCCUUCUCUCUCCCCCCUCCCUUCUUCCCUCCCCUCCCUUUUUCAGCAUCUCCCCUACCCUUUCUUUCUCUUCUCUCCCUCUCUCCCCUCCCUCUCUCCCCCUCCCGCUCUCUUCUCCCUCUCCCUACAAGUCUGGCACUGAAGGAGAACUGUUUUGCUUUGCUCCGGGAAGAGUGCAGACACGACGUGAAAUCCGGAGCUCUUUGCGUGGUGCAUUUAAAAUGCUUCCUUAUUUAUAUUACCCUCAUCCCCUCCCCUCUCCCACCCCCUCACCAGCCCUUCCAAAUUUCCCUAGAAAUCUGUGUAAAGCGUGGAGGGGAAAACAUUUGCAUAAAAAGUGAAGGAGCACGCCAAGCAAAUAAUUCCAUCUGCAGCAGAAAACUUCACCCUACUCCAUUACUGAUUGGCUGGAGGACUCUUCUUCUCUAACCAAGUUCCACCCUGAAAAACCCACUACUUCCUGUAGAUGUCUCAGCUUUGAAGACAGACUCCACCUGCUGAUCUCUCCCUGCCCCACUGAUGCCAGGCCCACUGAUGGAAGUGAAGCGGCUACUCUGGUCUGUAUCUGACACAAGCUUGACUCAGUCAGACUUCUUGCCCAGACGUGCCUUUGGUUUGACCACUUAAAGCAAGUAAACGGUGCUCAACAUGUUCCAGGAAUGACUAUGCUGGUGAUUUAAUGCUUAUUAAUCAUUAUUGAUCUCACCAUCACUUUGAAGUCUAGCCAGAGAUCACCUGGCUUGGGAUGACAGGUUUUCAGAAAUUACUUUGGCAGUACGGUCAAAACUCGUGUGGACAUGAAGGAGUAGAAUUUGAGGCUUAAAGGGUCCAAGGGAAGAUGGUCCAAGUUACUGAUGGACCUCAGUAAGAAAUGAUUUUUUUCCUUCCUCCAUCAACUUCCCUCCUGUUUCUAACCCUCUAAGCAGCAAAGCAUAAAUGAUAUGGUGGACCAGAGUGAAACUAAUACACGGUUUACAAUGCACCCAACCAAAAGAAUGAAGAUGCAAUUGACAGAGACAUUGGUUCAGAGACUCUGAGGGUUGUGUGUUUCAGCCUUAAUCUGGCUUUCUUUUUAUGCCAGGCCCAUUUGUGAAUAUUUGGUUUGAUCUAAACUCCUGAGACUGUCAGAAAAUAAAAAAGGAAAGGGGGUUGCUCUUGUUUAUUCU